rfam:TPA: Bos taurus chromosome 13, whole genome shotgun sequence.
UCCUUGGUGGCUCAGAGGUUAAAGCAUCUGCCUCCAAUGCAGUAGACCCAGCUUCGAUUCCUGGGUUGGGAA